UCCUACGGGAGGCAGCAGUGAGGAAUAUUGGUCAAUGGGCGCGAGCCUGAACCAGCCAAGUCGCGUGAGGGAGGACGGCCCUACGGGUUGUAAACCUCUUUUGCCGGGGAGCAACGGGCGUCACGUGUGGCGCCACUGAGAGUACCCGGAGAAUAAGCUCCGGCUAACUACGUGCCAGCAGCCGCGGUAAUACGUAGGGAGCAAGCGUUAUCCGGAUUUACUGGGUGUAAAGGGCGUGUAGGCGGGCAUGCAAGCCAGAAGUGAAAUCUGGGGGCUUAACCCCCAAACUGCUUUUGGAACUGCGG
rnacentral:rRNA from 1 species